UACGGGGGGAGCAAGCGUUGUUCGGAUUUACUGGGCGUAAAGGGCGCGUAGGCGGCCAGCACAAUUCGGUUGUGAAAUCUCCGAGCUUAACUCGGAAAGGUCAACUGAUACUGUGCGGCUAGAGUGCGGAAGGGGCAACUGGAAUUCUUGGUGUAGCGGUGAAAUGCGUAGAUAUCAAGAGGAACACCUGCGGCGAAGGCGGGUUGCUGGGCCGACACUGACGCUGAUGCGCGAAAGCCAGGGGAGCGAACGGG
rnacentral:rRNA from 1 species